UGUCAAUCCUCCAGGUACAGACUAAAAAACAACUGCAGAGGCAGCUUUAACCUAACUAGCUCAUGUUCUGGACACCCUAAGCCCUUCUAUUCCCUCUCUGAAGUUCCAGGACAAUCUUUUGAUUGGAAGAUGGAAGAGCUGAGUCAUCCCUUGAGAAGGAAUUUCUCACCCCAGAUGACAUUGUGCAAUCCAGCUCUCUUUUAUGGUUGCUGCUGAAGGAACUACUGUGUCACUGAAAGACCUGCAUGAAGAUGACAUUGUCCCAUUUCUUUCGUUACUAAAGCAAAGCUAAACUCCUUGCUUAUUGCUCACUGCAGAACAAGGCCCCACAGCGCUCAUCAGGGCAAGGCCUCGAGGGGAAGAUGGAUGAUGUCCCCUGAUGUGGUGACGAGGAGCUGGCAUUGUUCCCUACCUCACACCCCCUGCGCUUCUGGAGCCCAAGAGAGAAGUCUCAAAUGCAAAGCUGUGUGUCUCUGCACUUGGAAAGUCCCCUCUCCAGUUUCUGCAUUCGAGUUCAUGGAAGAGUUAUUAAUGGAAUGGUAAUGCUCUCCAGGAACAACAGGACAAGGACCAGCUCCUCCUGGUAACUGGAAGUUACCUCCUGAGUAGCAACUUGAGGAGACCAAGGCCCUGAUUGAACGCAACGGAUAGAGAGCCAGGAUUUCUUUGCCACAGCCCUCAGUGUGACCCUGUUACUCACCUGAUCCCUCUGAAGCUGAUCCCUUCUUGCUGUCUCGGUAGCGUCUGCYGUGGCUGCCAACUCGCC